rnacentral:rRNA from 1 species
UUCCGGUUGAUCCUGCCGGAGGUUACUGCUAUCGAGGUUCGACUAAGCCAUGCGAGUCGAAUGUAGCAAUACAUGGCGAACUGCUCAGUAACACGUGGACAACCUGCCCUUAGGACGGGGAUAAACCCGGGAAACUGGGUAUAAUACCCGAUAGGUCUCGAUUGCUGGAAUGCAUCGAGAUUUAAAGCUCCGGCGCCUAAGGAUGGGUCUGCGGCCUAUCAGGUAGUAGUGGGUGUAGCGUACCUACUAGCCUACGACGGGUACGGGUUGUGAGAGCAAGAGCCCGGAGAUGGAUUCUGAGACACGAGUCCAGGCCCUACGGGGUGCAGCAGGCGCGAAAACUUUACAAUGCUGGCAACAGCGUUAAGGGAACCUCGAGUGCCAGGUUACAAAUCUGGCUGUCGAGGUGCCUAAAAAGCAUUUCAUAGCAAGGGCCGGGCAAGACUGGUGCCAGCCACCGCGGUAACACCGGCGGCUCGAGUGGUAACCGUUAUUAUUGGGUCUAAAGGGUCUGUAGCCGGCCGGAUAAGUCUCUUGAGAAAUCUGGCAGCUUAACUGUCAGGCUUUCAGGAGAUACUGUCUGGCUCGAGGCCGGGUGAGGUGAGAGUACUUCAGGGGUAGGGGUGAAAUCUUGUAAUCCUUGA